UACGGAGGGCGCAAGCGUUAAUCGGAAUCACUGGGCGUAAAGCGUGCGUAGGCUGUUUGAUAAGUCAGGCGUGAAAUCCCUCGGCUCAACCGGGGAACUGCGCUUGAUACUGUCGAACUCGAGUCCUGGAGAGGGUGGCGGAAUUCCUGGUGUAGGAGUGAAAUCCGUAGAUCUCAGGAGGAACACCGGUGGCGAAGGCGGCCACCUGGACAGGUACUGACGCUGAGGCACGAAAGCGUGGGGAGCAAACAGG
rnacentral:rRNA from 1 species